CCAUACCAGCCGGGGAGCCAGCGGUGCCCUGCACCCGAAAUCCGCUACAGCGGGGGUGGAUCCCCCGAACGAGGACGGAUCCGAAGCGGUCCGCGAUCCGGUUUCCGUGUUGAAGAGCGGGUCCUGCGCAAUCGGGCACUGUGAACCAUGUCAGGUGGGGAACCAAGCAGCAUUAAGCAGCCGGUCCGGUGUGCCGCGGGGGCGCCUGCUCAGAGCGGGAGGCGGAACUAACGCGCGGCGGUGAAUUUCGACUUCGGGGUGUAUGG
rnacentral:SRP_RNA from 1 species